UACAGGGGGUGCAAGCGUUGCUCGGAAUUACUGGGCGUAAAGCGUGCGCAGGCGGUUGUGCAAGACAGAUGUGAAAUCCCCGGGCUUAACCUGGGAACUGCAUUUGUGACUGCACGGCUAGAGUGUGUCAGAGGGGGGUAGAAUUCCACGUGUAGCAGUGAAAUGCGUAGAUAUCGGGAGGAAUACCGAUGGCGAAGGCAGGUCUCUGGGCUGACACUGACGCUCAUGCACGAAAGCGUGGGGAGCAAACAGG
rnacentral:rRNA from 1 species